AAUGGGUUCCUCCCUCAGCAGAUAAAACCAGCCCUGCCAUCACCCUGCAGCUCUGGCAAGGAGCCCAGCCCCAGGAUCCCGUUCUGUGAUCCGGAAAGAACACAGACCACCCGCCAUGGAGUUUCGGCUGAACUGGGUGGUCUUGUUUGCUCUCUUACAAGGUGUCCAGGGUGAGGAGAAGCUGGUGGAGUCUGGAGGAGGCCUGGUGCAGCCUGGGGGGUCUCUGAGACUCUCCUGUGUCGGCUCUGGAUUCACCUUCAGUAGUUAUGCAGUGAGCUGGGUCCGCCAGGCUCCAGGGAAGGGGCUGGAGUGGCUGGCAUGUAUUUAUAGUAGUGGUAGUAGCACCUACUACGCAGACUCUGUGAAGGGCCGAUUCACCAUCUCCAAAGACAACUCCCAGAACAACAACGGCCUAUCUGCAAAUGAACAGCCUGAGAACCGAAGACACGGCCCGGUAUUACUGUGCAAGAGGCACAGUCCAAUACACUCUCCAUCGACGCGCCCAGGCCCAGGUCCAGCUGGUACAGCCUGGGGCUGAGCUGAGGAAGCCUGGGGCAUCAGUGAAGCUCUCCUGCAAGGCGCCUGGUUACUCCUUCACCAGCUACUAUGUGCACUGGGUGUGA